AACGUAGGAGGCAAGCGUUAUCCGGAUUUACUGGGCGUAAUGCGCGUGCAGGUGGUUUGGUAAGUUGGAUGUGAAAGCUCCUGGCUUAACUAGGAGAAGUCGUUCAAAACUACCAGACUGGAGAGCAGUAGAGGGAGGUGGAAUUCCCGGUGUAGUGGUGAAAUGCGUAGAUAUCGGGAGGAACACCAGUGGCGAAAGCGGCCUCCUGGACUGUUUCUGACACUCAGACGCGAAAGCUAGGGUAGCAAACGGGAUUAGAAACCCUAGUAGUCC
rnacentral:rRNA from 1 species